GAGCUGCCAAUCAAACACUUUAGUUUAUUUAACAGCGCGUUUCUCUGUUUGGUCACAUAACAUGUUCCCAUUAAUUGGACUCUGGAGCUCAGUGAAGGCCGUCAGUGCUGUGGUCUCUGCGUCUCAGGCACCGUCAGUAGAGGAUUACAGCGCCUGUAUGUGUUGAGGAUAUUCUCCUGCCUGUAGGUUCAUGAACCUCUGUGAAAACACGGCCGUCUGCCUGGGAGCAAAUCAUCAUCAAUUAUGAAGCUUCAACCCAGGAAUGUUUUCCUCCUUAGUGGAAACUGUGGAAGCGGCAGCAGCAGAAUGAGCAGCUCCACAUCUGAGCUGCUGGAGGCUGCAAGUCGCAAAUUUGGAAGCAAAGGUGUUACUGUUUAACACGUGUGCAUGUUGUUAGGGUGGCACCUAUUAAUAAAUAAAUGAGGGUAAAUGUAGACAGAUUUUUUUCAGUGCUGAUUGUCUUGAGACAUGUAUUUUAGCUUCUCCGCUUGUCAAUACUGAUAAUGUACUACUAAUAAUAUGUGGCUGUUGUAGUAUUUAUUUUCCCCACUUUGUCCCCAGAAUGGCGAAAGACUUAUUUACUAUUUAGUCAGUAUAAUAGCUUCGCUGGUUGUUGACCCUUUCAAUUUCUGGCUCUUGGUAAGUGGAAUGUAAUUCACACCGUUUGUACUCGAUACAUAAUUGCAUUCUCCAAAUUCAAUAAUGAUUUGCUCAAUUUUUCUGCAUAGAGAAUUUUGUUUGUUUUGAAGGUUGUAGUUCUGCGUUAUUCUGGAACGUUAAGGCCUAAAUAUGCUCUAAACUUUAAGUGCUUUGCUGCGAUGAAGUCCGUUUCUUAACUCUAACAGAGCUUUUACAGAUAAAAAUGACCGACUCUUUCUGAUUGUGAUGCAGCUUCACUGAGCUCCACUGAUAUUAAAAGUGAUGGCGCAAAACUA